AACAGGCAAACACAUCUGUAAGAAGUGUAAUUACUGUUAUGGGAACAGCGUUACGACAAAGGUGGAGAGGAGACCAGCAGCAGUUGCUGUGAGGGAGUCGGGGGAGCACCUGGAUGUCGUGUGUUUCAGCACCUCCGGAAGCAGAAACUGCAGGCCUUGAUGAAGAGGAGCA